rnacentral:lncRNA from 1 species
CCCCCUCGCUCGUCGCCACGACCGAGUCCCGGUGGUUCCGUUCUACGACUCGGCCGAGUCCUUGGUGAAGUCUACCGCCGCUGCUGUUGGGUUUCUCGUCCCCGGCGGCGCCGGGGAUGAGGAGGACUCCGAGGCUGCUUCAUGGCUCCUCCCGAACCCGAAACUCCCCGAAGGACCGGAGGUGAAGUCCGGCGAGGUGUUCUUCUCCGAUAUCGAUCCAUUUCUGGAUUUUGAUUACCCGGAUGCGAAAUUCCCACACCAUCAUCACCACCACUGCGGUGGAAAUGAUGGUGUAGUUCCGGUUCAAGCCAAAGAUCCCUCACCUCCGGUCACGAACCACCCUGCUGACAAUUGUUUUGAACUGGAUUUCUCUCGAUCAAAGCUCUCUGCCUACAACUAUACAGCUCAAUCUCUAAGCCAAAGCGUAAUUUCCCUUGCAGAAACUAGUGUUAUUAAUUGUCAACGCUAACAUAUAUGUAUAUAAAUUUGGAUGAAUUGGUG